rnacentral:rRNA from 1 species
GUAGGUGGCAAGCGUUGUCCGGAAUUAUUGGGGCGUAAAGCGCGCGCAGGUGGUUCUUUAAGUCUGAUGUGAAAGCCCCCCGGGCUCAACCGGGGGAGGGUCAUUGGAAACUGGGGAACUUGAGUGCAGGAGAGGAAAGUGGAAUUCCACGUGUAGCGGUGAAAUGCGUAGAUAUGUGGAGGAACACCAGUGGCGAAGGCGACUUUCUGGCCUGUAACUGACACUGAGGCGCGAAAGCGUGGGGAGCAAACAGGAUUAGAUACCCUGGUAGUCCACACCGUAAACGAUGAGUGCUAAGUGUUGGGGGGGUUUCCGCCCCUCAGUGCUGCAGCUAACGCAUUAAGCACUCCGCCUGGGGAGUACGGUCGCAAAGACUGA